GGGGCAGGGUGAGUCGACCCCUAAGGCGAGGCCGAAAGGCGUAGUCGAUGGGAAACAGGUUAAUAUUCCUGUACUUGGUGUUACUGCGAAGGGGGGACGGAGAAGGCUAUGUUGGCCGGGCGACGGUUGUCCCGGUUUAAGCGUGUAGGCUGGUUUUCCAGGCAAAUCCGGAAAACCAAGGCUGAGGCGUGAUGACGAGGCACUACGGUGCUGAAGCGACAAAUGCCCUGCUUCCAGGAAAAGCCUCUAAGCAUCAGGUAACAUCAAAUCGUACCCCAAACCGACACAGGUGGUCAGGUAGAGAAUACCAAGGCGCUUGAGAGAACUCGGGUGAAGGAACUAGGCAAAAUGGUGCCGUAACUUCGGGAGAAGGCACGCUGAUAUGUAGGUGAAGCGACUCGCUCGUGGAGCUGAAAUCAGUCGAAGAUACCAGCUGGCUGCAACUGUUUAUUAAAAACACAGCACUGUGCAAACACGAAAGUGGACGUAUACGGUGUGACGCCUGCCCGGUGCCGGAAGGUUAAUUGAUGGGGUUAGCGGCAACGCGAAGCUCUUGAUCGAAGCCCCGGUAAACGGCGGCCGUAACUAUAACGGUCCUAAGGUAGCGAAAUUCCUUGUCGGGUAAGUUCCGACCUGCACGAAUGGCGUAAUGAUGGCCAGGCUGUCUCCACCCGAGACUCAGUGAAAUUGAACUCGCUGUGAAGAUGCAGUGUACCCGCGGCAAGACGGAAAGACCCCGUGAACCUUUACUAUAGCUUGACACUGAACAUUGAGCCUUGAUGUGUAGGAUAGGUGGGAGGCUUUGAAGUGUGGACGCCAGUCUGCAUGGAGCCGACCUUGAAAUACCACCCUUUAAUGUUUGAUGUUCUAACGUUGGCCCGUAAUCCGGGUUGCGGACAGUGUCUGGUGGGUAGUUUGACUGGGGCGGUCUCCUCCUAAAGAGUAACGGAGGAGCACGAAGGUUGGCUAAUCCUGGUCGGACAUCAGGAGGUUAGUGCAAUGGCAUAAGCCAGCUUGACUGCGAGCGUGACGGCGCGAGCAGGUGCGAAAGCAGGUCAUAGUGAUCCGGUGGUUCUGAAUGGAAGGGCCAUCGCUCAACGGAUAAAAGGUACUCCGGGGAUAACAGGCUGAUACCGCCCAAGAGUUCAUAUCGACGGCGGUGUUUGGCACCUCGAUGUCGGCUCAUCACAUCCUGGGGCUGAAGUAGGUCCCAAGGGUAUGGCUGUUCGCCAUUUAAAGUGGUACGCGAGCUGGGUUUAGAACGUCGUGAGACAGUUCGGUCCCUAUCUGCCGUGGGCGCUGGAGAACUGAGGGGGGCUGCUCCUAGUACGAGAGGACCGGAGUGGACGCAUCACUGGUGUUCGGGUUGUCAUGCCAAUGGCACUGCCCGGUAGCUAAAUGCGGAAGAGAUAAGUGCUGAAAGCAUCUAAGCACGAAACUUGCCCCGAGAUGAGUUCUCCCUGACUCCUUGAGAGUCCUGAAGGAACGUUGAAGACGACGACGUUGAUAGGCCGGGUGUGUAAGCGCAGCGAUGCGUUGAGCUAACCGGUACUAAUGAACCGUGAGGCUUAACCUU
rnacentral:rRNA from 2 species